CUUAUGUUAGCAGAAGGAGGAAAAGCUAGCAGGGCAGUGGAAACAUGGUUGGAACAGAUGUGAGUGAUCAGCUCACCCCCAAGAACCUCAGCUCAUCUUGGAGAGCCCCAACUAGCAGGGGACAGGUGUUGGUGGAUGGGGAGACAGAGCAGAGUGCGGUGAAAUGAAGUGGGGGAGGAGGGCCAGAGUGGUGAAUUCAGAACAGAUGUCAGGAAAUGCUUUUUCCUUCAGAAACUGCUCAGCAUGUGGAAUGGAUCCUGGCAGUAAUGCUGAUGCAAUGGUGCUGGGCCUGCUCCAGGAGCUGUCAAACGUGGGGGAGAAUGAAGAUUGGCUGUGCCCUCUUAAGCACUAAUGAUGGUUCUCCAUGGUAGAAGCCAUGGUAAAAGCACUGAUAUCCAUGGUCCAUCCUCUGGCAUUGCUUUAGACAUAAAGGUUGGAGUCAGGCCAUCACACCAUCACUUGCUGCCUACAUUGCCUCUCCGAAGCAAGACAGGGAUUUCUAUCAGAUGGGUAUGUUUGAGCUAAUUGCCUGGAUUUCACUUGUAUCAGUGCAGAGAAACCAGCCCUCUGAAGUGCAGUUCAGCUCCACUUUGACUCUGAAGGUGCCUGUAACACCUGACCUGGAGGGAACAUCAUCUUCACUGCAAGGACUUUGAAGCCAAGUUUGAAUGCCACCUCCAUCAUCUGCUCAUUCUCAUGGAAUGUUGUUCCCUUGUAAUGAUGAGGAGUUCUUGGGAUGGAUCCUAAAAUGAGCGCGUGAGGCUGAGAACCGCAGCGCUGCUCACAGCGAGGGGAACUCAGCCCGAACCGUCGGUGUGUGGAAGCCCGGGGAGUGAAAACGGGGAACGUUCAGGGAUGAAGAGCAGAUAGAACCGAGAGCAGCGGAGCUGAGCAGCUCUGUGUGCGCCUCUGGGCUGCGGGGCUCCGGGCUGCACCCGCUGCUGCCAUCUCCUGGGCGCGGGGAGCGGAGCGCUGUUGGGCGGUGCGGAGGGUUUCCCUUCUUCUUCCUCGAAAGCUUUCCCACCGGAACGCAGCCGUGCCGAGCUCUGUGAGCUUAUUGUACCAAAACCUGGUGCUUUCUCGGGGAAGCACGGGAUUACUUAGUGAUUUUGCGCUGCAAAUUGCGUUCCGGUCCCACUGUGCUGUGCAAAAAAAAAAAAAAAAAAAGAAAAAAAAAAAAAGCCUUGAAUGUGUUUGUAGAUUUCGGUAAUUCAGGAGAUGGGUUUGCAAAUGCUUGGUGGGGUUGCAGUCCCCACGGAUGCGCUCACUGUGAGCCACGGGGAUGCUCUGCCAAUGGCACGAGGCUGUGUCCCAGCUGUUGUUGCAGUGGCGGAUCCCCACAGAGACCCAAAGCGUUGUCAGAAGGCAUGAAAGCCCCCAGGUGUGCUGGGACACAUCGCCAGGGCUCGUCCUC
ensembl:lncRNA